rnacentral:lncRNA from 1 species
GGGAGACAGGGUCCCAGCCCUUCCUUCCUGGGCCCUCUCAGCCUCUCUCCUCCACAUGAUCGGGCCCCUGCCCUGUCGCUCCUGUUACCCCAGCUGGAGCCCGCCCUGCCUCAUCCUGUUCCUGCUCAUCAAGCCCUCUCUCCUGCCUCAGCCUUUUCUUCUCAAGCUGUCUCUCCAGUUGUGGAAGUGAACCCCACAAGCACAUCCAGAUACUAAGCAGACGAGGCAGCGAGGAACCCCUGAGUCUAAACCCAUCACCUCAGUUCGGGACUUUUUAUUUUUCCACAACAAGUGCCUGGGAUUAUAGCUCAGAGAGGACAUUUGCCUUCAUAUACAAGGCCCGGGCUUGGUCCCGGCACAAUAAAACUAAUAAAAACGAUGGACACGUAAGUCAAUGUCUCCAAGGGCCAGCAGGGCGGCUCAGCAGACAAAGGCUCUGGCUGCCGGGCCCGAGGACGGUGACCCGAGUUGGGUUCUUGGAACCCACAUGGUAAACAGAGAGAACCGGUGCCCAAAGCUGACCUUUGACAGCCAUAUCUUCAAUAUGACGUGUCAUGUCCACACAGGAAAUGAAGAGUUUUAGUGAAAAUCCACACAAUAAAAUUUCCCUCCCCACUUCUGCUCAACCCGCCAAACGCUGCUCCCAGGCUCACACUAUCCCACUGAGCUGCACGCCCGCCUUUCUAGAUGUGGUUAUUACACCAGUGAGUGUGAUCACACAUGGUCAUCUAUACAUCACUGCACCCCAUCAUCAUCACACAUCACUGCACCCCAUCAUCAUCACACAUCACUGCACCCUGUCAUCAUCACACAUCACUGCACCCCAUCAUCACACAUCACUGCAUCCCAUCAUCAUCACAUCACUGCACCCCAUCAUCAUCACACAUCACUGCACCCCAUCAUCAUCACACAUCACUGCACCCCAUCAUCACACAUCACUGCAUCCCAUCAUCAUCACAUCACUGCACCCCAUCAUCACACAUCACUGCAUCCCAUCAUCAUCACACAUCACUGCACCCCGUCAUCAUCACAUAUCACUGCACCCCAUCAUCAUCACACAUCACUGCACCCCAUCAUCAUCACACAUCACUGCACCCAUCUUCAUCACACAUCACUGCACCCCAUCAUCAUCACACAUCACUGCACCCCAUCAUCAUCACACAUCACUGCACCCCAUCAUCAUCAUACAUCACUGCACCCCAUCAUCAUCAUACAUCACUGCACCCCAUCAUCAUCACACAUCACUGCACCCCAUCAUCAUCACACAUCACUGCACCCCAUCAUCAUCACACAUCACUGCACCCCAUCAUCAUCACACAUCACUGCACCCCAUCAUCAUCACACAUCACUGCACCCCAUCAUCAUCACACAUCACUGCACCCCAUCAUCACACAUCACUGCACCCCAUCAUCAUCACACAUCACUGCACCCCAUCAUCAUCACACAUCACUGCACCCCAUCAUCACACAUCACUGCACCCCAUCAUCAUCACACAUCACUGCACCCCAUCAUCACACAUCACUGCACCCCAUCAUCAUCACACAUCACUGCACCCCAUCAUCAUCAUACAUCACUGCACCCCAUCAUCAUCACACAUCACUGCACCCCGUCAUCAUCACACAUCACUGCACCCCAUCAUCGUCACACAUCACUGCACCCCAUCAUCACACAUCACUGCACCCCGUCAUCAUCACACAUCACUGCACCCCGUCAUCUCCCUGACCCUCCCCAUCCCUUGCAGUCUUGAGAUGGUUCUUACCGUGCAGUGCAGACUGGUUUUGGGUUCCCGCACUCCCUGCCUCAGCCCCCACGUCCUGAG